UGAUGAAUAAGGAUGAAGUCACUAGAGAC
rnacentral:piRNA from 1 species